CCCUUAGAUGUUCUGGGCCGCACGCGUGCUACACUGAGUGGAUCAGCGGGUCAGGUUACGCGAGAGCGUUUCCUAAUCUUCAAAUCCGCUCGUGAUGGGGAUUGACGGUUGCAAUUUUCCGUCAUGAACGAGGAAUACCUUGUAAGCGCGGGUCAUCAUCCCGCGCUGAAUACGUCCCUGCCCUUUGUGCACACCGCCCGUCGCUCCUACCGAUUGAGUGGUCCGGUGAGGCUUUGGGAUCUAAGCGAAAAGAGCGUUUCGCUCCUUUUGCUGGGAGAACUCAGUCGAACCUUAUCAUUUAGAGGAAGGAGAAGUCGUAACA
rnacentral:rRNA from 1 species